AUCAAGGCCAUAGCAGGUUUGCACCUAACCCACACCCUCACUGUCGAACAUGCAGAGUGCUUAAGAAUUGGGUUUCUCCAUUUGUCAAGCAGUGGGAACCAAAUGCUUUUAUAAUUGACAGAGAGUUUCAACUCUCAAAUGUUAAGAAAAAUCCAUGACGUCCACAAACUGUACAAAAAAGGAAUAGUUUGAUACUGAAGGAGAGGAAACAUGAGAAGGGAAGACAUCUCGGCUACCAACUCGAUGCCUUUCUUGCACCAUCACUUAAUAGGGGAAUAUGGUGCACGCUGCCAAUCACAGCCAUUUUCUCUUAUAGAUCUCAUUCAUCAAGCUUUUAUAUUGAUGUUCUACUAAAGGAAUGGAUGGCUGUCAUUAGUGGUGUGCAUGACCACAUGGUGCACAUCAUGUAAGAUAUAAUUUCUUCAUCUAAUAAUAGUAAUAAAUGUAGGCAGGCAUUCCACCUUUCCUGCUUCUCACAACCAAUGGAACAACUGGUUACGCCAAGAAUCUGCCUCCCCAGCUCGUUCCACACACAUCUCCUCUCUACCUCUCAUUGACUUGCUUCCAAGAGACCCACAUUCCACUCACCCCAUUGUCAUAUUUAAUAGCACCACGUCAAACCGUCCAAUUGAUACAAGCCAUGAUCCUAUUGCCAAUAAUAGUAAAUAAACCUUUUUAUUAGCCACCGAAUCCAACCCAAUCCGAUCAUGCAAGAGAGCAACAUGGGGUUGGGUUGGGUGGUAUGUAAUAUAACCAAACCAGUAGUGCAUAAAAUUACCCAAGUCAAGCCCUCACACCUACUUUAAGCUUUCUUUAUGCAUGACACACUUGUAUUAUACAAGUCUAUAAUAAAAUCCAAGCCAACAAUGAGCUAAUUUUGUAGUCAAAUUUUAAAUUAGUGUCUUCCUGUUAUAACGGCCGUCAAUGAGAUCUCUAUGGUGCAGGU
rnacentral:lncRNA from 1 species